rnacentral:rRNA from 1 species
ACUCCUACGGGAGGCAGCAGUGGGGAAUAUUGCACAAUGGGCGCAAGCCUGAUGCAGCCAUGCCGCGUGUGUGAAGAAGGCCUUCGGGUUGUAAAGCACUUUCAGUUGUGAGGAAGGUGGUGUCGUUAAUAGCGGCAUCAUUUGACGUUAGCAACAGAAGAAGCACCGCAUGACUCGAUCGUCCAGUGCCAGCCAGCCGGCGUAAAUACGGGAGGGGGUUGCGAGCGUUAAUCGGAAUUACUGGGCGUAAAGCGCAUGCAGGUGGUUUGUUAAGUCAGAUGUGAAAGCCCGGGGCUCAACCUCGGAACUGCAUUUGAAACUGGCAGACUAGAGUACUGUAGAGGGGGUGAGAAGUUUCAGGUGUAGCGGUGAAAUGCGUAGAGAUCUGAAGGAAUACCGGUGGCGAAGGCGGCCCCUG